rnacentral:misc_RNA from 1 species
GGUAUCAUGAUACACAGGCACAUUCCCAGGACUAACACCAACACCCAAAUAACUCAUCUUUUCCACAGCCAAAACUAACCAAAAAUUAGAAGAAGAAUUAGAAGAGACAAAAAUUCUCAAAAGACUGGAACCUGCAAAGCCUCACACCAGCAAAACCACAAAGCUCCACACCACUAAAAUAGGCGACUCGCAAAAGUAUUGUUUUUUCACUUUCUUGGGCUUUUUGGGUUUUUUCAUUUUUGCUGUGAAUUUUCCAUUUAUGAAAUGAUCAGUGUUGUGUUGGUGGAAGAUUGCUAUGCAGCCUAAUUGUCAAAAGCACGCAUGAGACGUACAUAGAACACCUGAAAGGAAUAUUUAAUGCAAGUCUGAUCUUGCAUUUAAAACCUAUUGGUGAGGACGCUUUCUGGUUCAGUGUUGUUUAGAUUUAGAGCUCUUUCUUUUUGGUCAAGGAAGAGGCAACAGUUGCUUGCCCCAAGAAAAGGGUCAGAUAAGGUGAGGCCAUUUU